CCCGCACCGUCCUCGCGCGACUGGAUUCUUCCAGAUGGAAACGAAUACCACAUGAUGGGGAAGGGAAAAGGGGAGCAGGCACCGUCGUCUCCGCUCAGCUGCGACAUCGUUGACGUCGGCUACAGCGACCAUGGUGGCAGCCAUUCCUCUGUGUCCGCACCUCCCCCGUUUGCUUUGUCGUCGUCUCUCCGAUUGCCAUAGGUACGAACAAUCUUUUUCACCGUAACUUCACAGAUCUGCGUCCCCUCAGUGUUAGGGUUGUCUUCCAGCCUGCCGCAAUGUGCGCUCCCAUACCAUUACUACACAUCGAGUAGCAAUCGCCUUCCUCGCAUUUUUCCAUCGCUCGCUCCCCCUGUAAUGUAGAGUUUGCUUAGGUAUUGCCCAACCCGCAGGACGGACAGGCCACACCAUCAUACUAUGAAUCUUCUCCUCGUCAAAAAAGCUAAGUCACAUCAGAGCAGAUAGCAGCCACAUAUACGUUGUGGAUCGGUCGCCUGCUCCAUGUCCUCCCCCUUGCUUUUACGGAAUUGAGGAUAAGUUCUUGGUUUUGCUGCGCAGGAGUAUUACUACAGUCUAAGCCAGGAAUGCAGGUCCUGAUGAAUCUGUGGAACCUGUGGUUCCUAUUUUAGUGUGGGGUAGCAGAGUCUUGAUUACUGGGUUCCAAGCUAAAUUACUGUGUCCGAAGCUUGAUUACUGUGUUCGAUGCUGAAUCCUGUUAGAUCUAGAUUCGAAAUUGCAGAGUCCCAGAGUCUCGAUUACUUGGUUAUCUACAAUACUAUUGAUCCUUGGUUCCGUAGUCAGUUUUUGUUAUUUAAAACUAAAUAUCCCGUGGAGCCUGAUUAGAGAUUAGAAUUACUCUUAUUUAUUCUGUUAUAUUCAUGCCAUUGUUCCAUUAUAAAUGGUCUAAUUUAUUGGAAGUUGUUUUUGGCUGAUUGCGCUACAGGCUGACCUUGCUUUGGUUAGCAAAUUCACUUGCUAAGUUUGUACUAUGUUCACUCUAAUUACGUUAUGGUGGUGUUGACCGGUGAGACAACUAAGGCAACACAUAUUGUUUACUUUGUUUCGUAGUUAAUUUUUAAAUUAAAACCAAGUAUCCGUUAUAAAUGGUCUGGUUUAUAAAUGCUAUCUAUUUUCCCAAAAAAAAUAUUUUUGGGUGACUACGCUACAGCUUGAUCCUGCUUUGAUUAGUAGAUUCACUUGCUAAGUUUAUUCUAUGUUCACUCUCAUUACGUUAUGGUGAGAUGUUGACAUAAUGACAUGUGACCACAAUUAUGGCAGCACAUAUUGUUUCAGUUACUAAAGUACCAACUGCUGAUACAUAGGGAUCUUAAAUAGGAAAAAACAAUUACACAUGGUUUCUUAGGCAUGUCAUCAAGUUAUAAACUUUUCCCCAAAAAAUGUUUAUGUACAUUACUUUGCAAUUGCUAACCUGUUGUGCAUUUGAUUUUGCAAUCGUAACCAUCGCGCUAUCCAAAUAUACCUCCAAUCAACAGGAUCGAGCUACGCAAAUUGCUCCUACAUUCUCACAUACACUUAGGGGUGACAAUGGGCUCUAAAUUUUAAACUAUAAUAUUUAAGGUUCUGAUCGGAUUAGGAUCAGGCUCUAUUUCUAUUCAUUUUUGAACUAGAUUUUUAUUUAGGGAGCUAAGAAAUUAUGAAGAAACAUUUGGAUCGCGAUCCAUUACCACCCCUUUAUACACUCCAUUGUAAGCAUACCUGUCCAUGCCUUAUUUACAUUACUUGUUUACGCACAGCAGUUAGUUUUCUAUUAUUUGCACCCCUCCUCAGCCUACAUGCCACAAAUCUCAUUUGUUUCUUACUGUUUUCGCAUGGUCACUUACUAACAAGCUGAUUUGCACAACAUAUAACUUCUAUCUGGAACAGGUAUGCUUUCUCCGGUAAGCAAAAUAUAACAUGCCUUUUCCAUAUUCACAACAAAAAUACACAGGUUCAUUUUUUUUCCAUCGUGUCCCCUAACUGGGAAAAAAUAAGAAAAGGUACAAGCCAUCGCCCAUGUUUUAUUGAACACCAUGUAUAUGUCCACGCAUAUAUGACCAUGUUCUACAGGUUGGUUUACAUUGUAUAUGACCAUGUUAUGUUGCAUGGCAGAUAUGUGAACACCAAAAGGGGAUGCAACUGCGAACUGUGAGAAAUUUUCCACAUACUACGCUCACAUUGUCUGGGGCAAUGGGAUAUCAUACUCAUACAGUAAUACUGCUGCCUGUCGAUCUUAACAAAUUUCAUUCAAGAACUAGGGCAUGCUAAUGUUCAAAAGAGUUGUCAGCGAUUCAUGACACCUGGUAGCACUACAACCAGCAAUGUAUGGAUGAAUUGAAGGAAGUAAAGAAGGCAGACAAUCUUACAGAAACUUUACAGAAACUCUGCAUCUUGAAACUGCCAUGAUUGACAAAGAAGCUGGAUGCAUCAUGUGCAUUGGUGUCUUCUUAUCACCAUGCAUUAAUGUGAAGCAAGUUCAUUUGUUGACUAAGAAUGGAUGAACACAAAUCAGUGGAGUUCGUUGCACUAGAGAUGGAGGUUGGAGAGGUGUGGUAGGUGUCAAUAUGGCUUUGAUACAAUUUUGCCCUACAAUCUUUGUACGGAACAAGAAAAAUGACAUUGUACGUGGAUACUAUAUUGUAAUUCAAUAAUUUUUUCUAAAUAAUAAAUAUAUUUGUUUAUAGUU